UUCUGCAAGGGCAACUCUAAAAUGCCGCAAGUGUUCUUUUGUCUGCAUAAACUUUUUAUGGCAAGACCAAAGUCACAUCACACGAAGAAGAGAUCCCAGAGACAGAGUUGGAAAAUCAGCAGAGGGCAGCAGUGAACAAGGACAUUUCUUCCCUCGAUCUAUUACUGACCUGAAGACUGAGCUCCAGAGACACAGAGAGCU